AUGUUUGCCAGGCUGCUAACAAGCUCUGAGGGGUGCCCUGAACUGCUCCACCUGAGUCCCUCAUCCCCAGAGGUCCCUCUGGGAGCUGUGCCUGCUGCUCCUGGCUUCAUUUGGGCUUGCCUCAGGAACUGGGCCGUUGCUGACUUUGGUUGUGGCCACCAGACUUGCUCAGCUCUUGCCCAGAACUCAUCCAAGGCACAAAUGGCAGAUGCAUUCCACCUUCACUGUCCUCAAACUGAAGCAAGGAGUUUCAUGUGGAAGUUAAGGGUCGUCACGAUGCAACAGAUGGAGCCGAGGGUUGACCAUCAAGAAACAAUUCCUGUGAAACCCAGAAGGCGGUGGGAGGAGGAGUGA
rnacentral:lncRNA from 1 species